GAUGAACGCUGGCGGCGUGCCUAAUACAUGCAAGUCGAGCGAACAGACGAGAGUGCUUGCCCUCUCUGGCUUUAGCGGCGGACGGGUGAGUAACACGUGUGUCACCUCCCUAUGAGACUGGGAUCACUUCGGGAAACCUGCGCUAAUACCGGAUAAUAUUUAGCUUCACAUGACGCAAUAGUGAAAGACUGUUCUUCUGUCACUUAUAUAUGGACCCGCGGUGUAUUCGAUAGUUGGUGAGGUAACGGCUCACCAAGGCAACGAUACAUAGCCGACCUGAGAGGGUGAUCGGCCACACUGGGACUGAGACACGGCCCAGACUCCUACGGGAGGCAGCAGUAGGGAAUCUUCCGCAAUGGACGAAAGCCUGACGGAGCAAUGCCGCGUGAGUGAAGAAGGUCUUCGGAUCGUAAAACUCUGUUGUAAGGGAAGAACAAGUACGUUAGUAACUGAACGUACCUUGACGGUACCUUAACAGAAAGCCACGGCUAACUACGUG
rnacentral:rRNA from 1 species